ACUGCACACCUGAACGCAACACUAAUGGAAAGAUUCAGCAUCUUGGUCGGCUGCUCACGGUGGGGCUUGUGGCUGGUGGUUGCGGCAGUGGCAGAGCAGUGUCCGAGAGCGUGGCGCAAGCAGUGGCCCCUGCUAUGUGGGCUGAUGGGAGCACACCGUCCAAGCAGCGCUUCAAGUCUGACAAUGUCCGCUCUACACCAAGGUACGUGGGCACUCGUCCAAAGAUCUAACAUCUUCACCGACUAGGACUAAGGUAUGUGUUUUCUUCUGCCCGUGUGAUGUGGUGAUAAUUUGUUAUGCAUAUGUUUGUAGAUGUUAGUCAGUAUUUGGGAGAUAUGAGGUAGUUUGCUAGAUAAGAAAUAGAACAAGAACAAGAAGGAGCUUUAGUUGGGCCAUGUCAUUGUGAACUUGGAGCACAGAAAUUUAUAGGAGGUGGUUGUCGUAAAACUAGGUGCUUAAGAUCUGCGGAACUAUAACAUUUUUUGAGUCUAAGUAAAACAAAUUUACUUUCUGGGUCUAACUAUGUUAAUAAUUUCUUGCGUGAAUAGAUGGGCCAAGCCGAGCAGGCCAUCACUUUUCUGAAAACUAUAUCGCCAUUUAUUUAGCCAGUACAAUGUUUAUUUUCUGAAAACUAUAUUGCUGUUGUAGGUUAUCUGAUUAAAAUUACAUCCCCUUCUUGUGUUUUAUGAGUUGAUUUCUACCAUGUACUGUAACGGCCGUGCAGUGACCUUUUCGAAGCGAGAUGUUUUUUGUCAUGAAUUUAAACUUGAAUUGCUAACACGCUGGUACUUUUAUCUGAUGAGCAUUUGACAUGAUUUUGUAGUUUGUGAGGGUUGAAGCCAAAAGAAGAACAACAUACAAUGAGGUGUUCUCCAAAGUUCAAACACAUGUAUCCUUCACUAAUUGGCCAUGAUAAAUCAUCCCCAAAUGCCAAGUUUAAAUAUCAAUGGAGUUUUGCUAUAAUUUUUGAUGGCUUUAUCUAAACUGUAACUAUGCAGUCUGCUUAAGAAACAAAAAAAUAAGGAGUAUCCUGAAUGCCACUGCAAAAAAAUUAUCCUGUGGAGCUGAUGCUGAAAGGCAUAAAAUUCAAUACUUCUAUUACAUUGUUGCCAUGCCAUUUUUUUUGCUGAUACAUAACACGUCUUUCAAAUAUAUAUGCUUGGGAACUGAUUUAUUUUCUUCCGGCUUGAUUCAUCAACUACCUCAACCAGCUACUGUCUAUUACAGGUUGCAGAUGAAAUUUAUUCAGAGCUGAAGUCCAUGGCACAUAUUGGUCAAGGGGUUUGUAUAAUAUGCACUUCUUUGUUCCCUUUCCACUUUUUUCUUGGAAUUAAGAAGCAUCGCUCCCAAUUCCAUUUAGCACGGAACUGAUACAAAGAGUGCCGGCCCACCAAAUGUCAUGGUUCCAGAAAUUUUAUUACAAACAUCCACAUGUUAUAGAACCUCUAACCAGCACCGCCACCUUACUGUCUUUGCAACAACGACAAUGGAACACAACAACCUCGCACUGGCCGGAUCCUCCGUGCCAUGUCCAUCCAAUGCCGCUCUGCUUCGCUCUCCAUGUCAUCACCAGCCACCCUCCCUGUGCAGUGACGACCUGCUGGUCGCGGUGCUGCUUUGCAUCCUUUAUGAUGGUGCAUCUGGAACAUAUGCGGAAUGAUGCAUCCAUGGUCAAGCUUCGAUAGACUUGCUAAAGUUAAAGCUCAUGAUGAACUUAUGCAGACAAUGUCUCUGAUGUUCAAGAGAGAACACUGUAAAUGAGGACAAUGUCAUGAGCUGCAAAUCUGUAAAUGAUGUUGAAGAGAGAGCUAUAAAUGUCUCUGCAACAACGGACCUGCAGCCUGUAGGUAAUUGGUCUUGUGUCUUCCAGCUACAAUAAAAAGAGUCUAAGCAAUAAAGGUCCUACUAAUCAAUUAAGUUGGCCGUUUGCUUGCUUCUUGUGCCUACAACAAGCUCGCUGGAUUGUUUUAUCGUAGUAUGAAAGCUUGUAAGCGCGAGAUUGAGGUCCUACUAAUAAAUUAAGGUGAGUGAUCAGCUUAUGCUCCACCGAUGCAGGCAUCCAGAGGUUCGACUGCGUUGGCAGGAGCUCGGUUGGUUUACUUAUAUGCUUUUUUUUCUGCAACAUUGGGUUAUUUGGGUAGUUCAUGCAUGUUCGUCCUCUUUAUAUGGUUUUUCUCAUAAUGCGCGCCCCGAAGUAGGUUCUUUUAGUUGCUACAGAUUUUAGUUUUUUCUGCUUACUGUCAUGUCCACUUUCUUAUCUGAUUAAGCAACUAAUAUAUUAAUAUCUGUGCAAAGUUCUACCAUUUUUGCACUCACUUAUGGGGCCAUCUAUGUAGAGUUUGUUCUGCUAUUCUCCAACUUAAAUAAAGAAUGCAGUCUCAUGUCAUUGUCUUUGCUAAUACAGUUUGUAAUGCAAUCCAAUUGUAGUGUCAUGUUCCAGCUCCUUUUAUUUUCAUCGUGAUGUGCAAGGUUGUUCAUGUGCUCUUCUUGCCAUGCACUAAUCAAAGUGUACAUGUAGAUGCUAAAAAUUGCUUAUCAUCAAAUUACUUGACUUAUGUACUGCUUGGAUUUGUUUAAUUAAAGAGAUGUCUCUUUAAAUUGACUAUAUUUACUUGUCACACAUCAUUUGGGUCUUUUGCAUUGCCAAGAGUUGUUACCUGAAACUUCAUACAUUGUAAUUUCUUGUUAUCCUUCUGUGCAUGGAGUCAUCUUGUGGGUAGUACAAUCCAGGUCGACAAUGCUGAGAUAAUCAUCAUUUUAAUUAUGACAGAUUACCAAGUUUAAUAUUUCAGUUCUCCGAAACAUAAUCUGAUUAUGACAGCUUAUCAAAUUUAAUAUUCUACACAUGGUGAACUUCAUCAAAUUAGGAUACCUACUUGUUUUAUCAUUCUAUCAGCAACCUAAGCUGAUACUAUAAGAUAUUGAACCCACUUGUAGUUCAGACCUUGCACGAUUCUGAUGGGGAAGAAAAAAGUGACUUGUCCCUAUGGGCUAUGGAGACAAUGGAUCUCCUCUGUAUGAAGGUGAUGUUGGUUCGACAAAUGGAUAUCUCUACCUUUUGUUUUGUGAAGAGUUGUGUCUGAAACCUGGUGAAACGACAGGGAAAUAGAAUACAGGGUCUAUAAUGAAAAGAUGUUUUAUUUUGAGCACGAUGCAGAACUUGUUCUCAGUAUACUAUGCCAUUUUUCAUAUGUUGACAUGUGAUUCCAAAUAAGUUCUAUUGGUUUAGAAAAAUGUAAUCCUGCAAAAGAAAUAUUCCACAUUUUAAUUUUAAAUUUAAUAUAUAUUGUAUAUGAGCUUAUUUUAAUUUUUUAUUUAAUAUAUGUUUAUAUGUUUACUUUUUUUAAGAUCAAUAUAAAAACCAUUGGCUUUGGAUGUUGCUUUGAAAAUGUCAAUUGACUAAGUUACUGACAUAACUAUGAUGUACUGAAACUAAUCGAGUUUUAUACUUUUAUACAAGGAAAAUGAUUCCUUUUGGGCUGUUGACGGAAGCUUGCGCCAGUCGCCUGUGAAUCGUUCGAUCACGUCUCAUCUACCAGUUCUCCCUAACGCACACAUCCAGGCGAUUCAAUCCCCUCCUUCAUCCUUACCUCAUGAGGAAACCGCCAGCCACUUGUUCUCUCCCGUUCCUCUCAUCUCUCAAGCUUCGUUUUGUCCCUCUCUCACAUCACCUUUUUUCUCCUUUUCAUCCAGCGUCACUGCUGGACGUAGUUGCUAGUAUGAAUGUGGGGGCAGGCGACGAGUCGGCUGCAAGUGCGAGCGCAGUGUUGUGGCGACGGGCAGCAAGGACGAACGCGUGCACGAGCUGCGCUGCUGCAGGAGGUGCCGCAGCGUGAUGCAACUGAGGAGCUACAACCACCAGUUAGUGAAGCUGCAACCGUCAUAUGGUGCCUACAUUCAGAUGGCCGGCAACGACGGCUGCCGGCUGCGUAUGGAGACGAGCAUGGCGAGACGAAAAGCUGCAACAGGCAAAGAUUUUGUUGGAACCGGCGGCAUGUUUUGUUGGGACCGGCAGGGCGAUGUGCUACGACGGUGACGCAGGGGCGGAGACGGUGUGUUGGGACCGGCAGGGCGAUGUGCUACGACGGUGACGCAGGGGCGGAGACGGUGUGUUGGGACCGGGAAGAUGAAUAGCUGCAACCGACAAUAAUCAACCAGUUACAUGUUUGGAGAAGACCACUUGCGUUGGGCAAGAGGGUUCUGCUGUGGAGACCAAGAAAAAGGAUGACAGCGUUGGGGACGCCUCAACUGCCGAUGAUGAACGCAGCUCGGAACAAGCAAAGCUCCACGCGAGGCUCCCCUUCUUAGACCAGUACUAAGGACUGCAGUUAUGUUCGACCCAUGAACCGGAAGGAUUGCUUGCCAUUAUGUGGUAUAGUUGUCCUUUGAGAUAUAUUAUUGUUUGUAUGAAUUAUGAGCUUCUCCGUGUCUAAAUUUACUCAAAUAGUCUUCUAGGAAUCUUGUUUUUGAUCCACUUUGGAGUCACAAUUUGUUGCUUGACACUUUGUUGUCUAACCCUCAAUUAAAGUUAUUACUAUAUUCAAGUGA